rnacentral:rRNA from 1 species
UUUGAAAUCUGGCCCCCAGGGUCCGAGUUGUAAUUUGUAGAGGAUGCUUUUGGCGAGGUGCCUUCCGAGUUCCCUGGAACGGGACGCCACAGAGGGUGAGAGCCCCGUCUGGUCGGCCACCGAGCCUCUGUAAAGCUCCUUCGACGAGUCGAGUAGUUUGGGAAUGCUGCUCAAAAUGGGAGGUAUAUGUCUUCUAAAGCUAAAUACUGGCCAGAGACCGAUAGCGCACAAGUAGAGUGAUCGAAAGAUGAAAAGCACUUUGAAAAGAGGGUUAAAAAGUACGUGAAAUUGUUGAAAGGGAAGCGCCUAUGACCAGACUUGGGCCCGGUGAAUCAUCCAGCGUUCUCGCUGGUGCACUUCGCCGGGCACAGGCCAGCAUCAGUUUGGCGCGGGGGAAAAAGGCUCUGGGAAUGUGGCUCCCCCGGGAGUGUUAUAGCCCACCGCGUAAUACCCUGCGCCGGACUGAGGUACGCGCAUUCGCAAGGAUGCUGGCGUAAUGGUCAUCAGCGACCCGUCUUGAAACACGGACCAAGGAGUCGUCUUCGUAUGCGAGUGUUCGGGUGUCAAACCCCUACGCGUAAUGAAAGUGAACGUAGGUGAGAGCUUCGGCGCAUCACCGACCGAUCCUGAUGUUCUCGGAUGGAUUUGAGUAAGAGCAUACGGGGCCGGACCCGAAAGAAGGUGAACUAUGCCUGUAUAGGGUGAAGCCAGAGGAAACUCUGGUGGAGGCUCGCAGCGGUUCUGACGUGCGAAUCGAUCGUCAAAUAUGGGCAUGGGGGCGAAAGACUAAUCGAACCUUCUAGUAGCUGGUUUC